GAACUUGAAGAAUAUGCUACGAGUCUCUUUUAAAUGUGUGUGUUGAGAGUUGUGGUAUUACUAUAGCUAAUGUGCAUUUUAGAAAGACAGGUGGCCCCUUGGUGGGCCUUCCAGUGAAGAGCUUUCUAUUGAGUUUAGUAGUCACAAUGCAUUGGAUUAGGAAAUUAGAGCAAUUUUUAGCCUCUUUUCCUUCUCUCCGUCCUCUCCUCAUUUGACCCUAGAGUGUGGUGAAGUAACCCUCAAGGGCUAACAUUUCCAGAAUGAUCAUUUGUGAUAAUGCAAGACUGAGAAAAAGAUGUGUCACUAAUGUCUGGCCAAGCUCAGCAGGGGCUCUCUUUAAAAGGGCAGCAUCAAUCCUGGGAGCCUCUAAUGCUACAGAAUAUUCUACUAAUGGUUCUUCAAUCUCCUCCUAUAUACUUUACUCCUCCGAAGAUCACCAGGUCCAAUAACAAAGCAUCGUGAGGAUGAGCAGCUGAGCCGACAGCCCCCACAUCGCUUGGAUUCUGGCAGGCUGGGCCAAUGAACACAGGAGGGAGACUGAAGAGAAGCAAGGAGAAACUGAGAUAUUUCUUCCCCUCCGCUUGUCUUGGGCAGCACCUCCAGAAGGACCCGCAGCACCUCCUUGUCUCCAGCUCUCUCUAGAUAGGUCCUCUAAGGUUCCAGAUUUUCCUUCAUGACUGAGGCCUUUCGUCCCCAUCACCCCACACCUGCCUUCUGCCCCUCAUUCCUAAAGUUAACAGCAAUCUCUCACUAUGCUUACAUGCACAUUCAAUUACUGUUCACAUUAGGCAUCUCGGCUCUUGAUUACCUGUGUGAACAAGGCUUGGCACCAGCUUUACGCUUUUUAAAUACAAAGAGUGGUUUCUAUUUCCCUAGUUAGAGCCUA
rnacentral:lncRNA from 1 species